UANAAAAAACCCUAAGGAGGAAAAAUUCAAGAGAAAUUCAUUGGAUUUCCAAAAAACGAAGCAAUCAGAGGUGGUGAGCCCUCUAGUAAGGGUAAGGAUAUUGUACCUGAGGACUAGGAGUAGGAGUACUCCCGUUAUUGUUCAGAGCAGUCUGUAGACAGUCGAUUUUGUCAAGGGUUUGCUUUUAGAUUUGCACCCUUAGAAAUCGGGAGGCGAAAAACUGAUGCUAGAGCCUUACGAGGUUUCGGUUGACAUUUCGGGUAAGGUUUGUCUAUCAGGACAUCGCGGCGGUUGUCACGGGCUCGAAGAGAGUACCGGGUCAUGACACAUCUAGUGGUUGAAUGGCUAAGUUUCAAAGUGGGGUGGUUGCAAAAGAGUAGAGCAUAAUGGUGUGACUGUGAAGAGGAAAAAGUGUUUAAUGGAAAUUAGGCUUUUAUAUUUAGGCUUAGGUUAGUUUCAAAAUGGUGUCAUUUGGGGCAUUCUUGGAGCCAUCUUUUGAACACUAACAGUGCGUUGUGGGAAGAGAAAACAUGCCUUGUUGGAGAAGUCCUGCUGUGGCCCUUGUUUGGGUGAGCCUUUCCCUACGACUCGUGUCUUGGUAGACCCAUCAUGCUUUCUUGAAGUUGAGCUGGCUUGUUGACUUACCAUCAGAUCCAGAAUCUUGGAUCCUCAACUAAGUCUAGAAUUCUUGCAUUAAGUUUCAAACCUUUGGUGAGCCUAGGAAAGUUUAACCCUUUGAACCUUUAUUCCGUUGCUUGGUUGUGGGAUUAGUUUAGAUGUGUGCAUUCAUCUAGAUAUCUUUUUUAUGAGUUGGUUAAUUAUAUAUUUAAAAAAAAUGGUAUAAAAAUAUAUAUGUGCACAUAUACAAAUGAUGAAAUAAUAAUGAAAGUGGUAGUAUAUUAUUGUAUAAGAUAGUAAAUGCUUAUGUUGAAUAAUUGUGGUCGAUGCGGUUGUAUU